ACCUGGCUGGCUCAGUUGAUAGAGCAUGAAACUCUUAAUUUCAAGGUCAUGAAUACAAGCCCCACGUUGGGCA
rnacentral:tRNA from 1 species